rnacentral:rRNA from 1 species
GAAUUCGCCCUUAGAGUUUGAUCCUGGCUCAGGACGAACGCUGGCGGCGUGCCUAACACAUGCAAGUCGAGCGGAGACAGUGAGUAGCUUGCUAUGAGCUGUUUUAGCGGCGGACGGGUGAGUAACGCGUGAGCAACCUUUCCCAGACAGGGGAAUAACACACCGAAAGGUGUACUAAUACCGCAUAAGACCACGGGAUCACAUGGUUCUGAGGUAAAAGAUUUAUCGGUUUGGGGUGGGCUCGCGUCCGAUUAGGUAGUUGGUGAGGUAACGGCCCACCAAGCCGACGAUCGGUAGCCGACCUGAGAGGGUGAUCGGCCACAUUGGGACUGAGACACGGCCCAAACUCCUACGGGAGGCAGCAGUGGGGAAUAUUGGGCAAUGGAGGAAACUCUGACCCAGCAACGCCGCGUGGAGGAAGAAGGUUUUCGGAUCGUAAACUCCUGUCCUUGGAGACGAGUAGAAGACGGUAUCCAAGGAGGAAGCCCCGGCUAACUACGUGCCAGCAGCCGCGGUAAUACGUAGGGGGCAAGCGUUGUCCGGAAUAAUUGGGCGUAAAGGGCGCGUAGGCGGCUCGGUAAGUCUGGAGUGAAAGUCCUGCUUUUAAGGUGGGAAUUGCUUUGGAUACUGUCGGGCUUGAGUGCAGGAGAGGUUAGUGGAAUUCCCAGUGUAGCGGUGAAAUGCGUAGAGAUUGGGAGGAACACCAGUGGCGAAGGCGACUAACUGGACUGUAACUGACGCUGAGGCGCGAAAGUGUGGGGAGCAAACAGGAUUAGAUACCCUGGUAGUCCACACUGUAAACG